rnacentral:rRNA from 1 species
UGUGUAGGCGGUUGUUUAAGUUUGGUGUGAAAUCUCCCGGCUCAACUGGGAGGGUGCGCCGAAUACUGAAUGACUAGAGUGCGGGAGAGGAAAGUGGAAUUCCUGGUGUAGCGGUGAAAUGCGUAGAUAUCAGGAGGAACACCGGUGGUGUAGACGGCUUUCUGGACCGUAACUGACGCUGAGACACGAAAGCGUGGGUAGCAAACAGGAUUAGAUACCCUGGUAGUCCACGCCCUAAACGAUGCAUAUUUGGUGUGGGCAGUUCAUUCUGUCCGUGCCGGAGCUAACGCGUUAAAUAUGCCGCCUGGGGAGUACAGUCGCAAGGCUGAA